rnacentral:lncRNA from 1 species
UUGCAGUCACUGAUUAUGUGGUGGCUGCUUCUCAGCCCCUUGCUAUGUGCUCUAAGCCCCAGGUGCAGAACCAGUCAUCAGGAUGUGGACUUUCGUUCUCCAGUUGCUGGACCGAAGAGGAAGCCAUUUCGAAGGCCUCAGGAGGAAGCUAUGCAACAGUCCCAAUUGUUCUCAAGCAGAGGAGAGCAGCACUUUGGUUUACCCAAGUGCUGGCCCAGGAGGCCCUCAGCCGCUUUGCA